UGCGUUCAAGCAAGAAUUAACUUCUUUGAUAUGGAAUCACAUACACGGAAGUAAAGACCCAACAAAUUAAAAUCACCACAAUCUCAAUUGCAACCGAUAGCCUGAUUUGCCGAUUACAACUGCACCAAAUAUUUGAUUUCAAUUGCCGAUUGGAAGUUUUCCGAUUGGGAAAUUUGCCGAACCCGAUUGGAAUUACGAUUGGAAGUCCUCCGAUUGGGGAGUUUACCGAUAUAGAUUGUCCUGAUUUGGGAGUUUGUCGUGAAAAUUCACUUGCACCGAUAGGCUUGCGCCGAUAGCCUAAUUUGGGAAUUCGCCGAUUGGAAGUUUCCCGACCCCGGCUAUCUUGAUUCCGGCUACCGGUAGCUUCAUGAUCGGUACCGGUAUCAUUUUUCUCACUGGAAUCAACACUAGCAUGUCAAAUUGCUAUAACACCAAUGUCGGAUUUUCGAAGUCAGAGUAGGGGAGUUGCUCUAACAAUGGCGCCGAUAACAUCAUUUCCGACACUAUCAGAGAUUCAGAGCUAAGCUUUUCUCUCUCUAUGUUUUAUGUGAAAUUAAAAGAAUCUCUAAAUCUCACUCUUUGACCAUCAUACAUGUACGAUGCAUAUAGCAAGAGUCUUGCCCAUUUUACUAAACCUAGUUCAUGUGCAUAGUUUCAAAUGGUGGGUAAUUGGUAUGCCUAGUUUCAUACAAAUGAUUCGUAUUAAUAUAUGAUUCGUAUGUAUGCUACGGUACUCCAAGGGUAAUUGGUAAUUGGUCGCUAAUUGGCUUUGAGAGAUUAAUUAAUUAAUGAUGUUUGCCCAUUGUACUUGGUCAUUUUACCUUUUAAUAUGCGGUGUUUACAAAGGAGUAUGAUUACCUUGCUACUGACAUAAGGUCGUUUCUUAGAUCAGUAGUAGUAGUUGACAUUAGUAGUAGUUGACUACUGGCUAUAGAGGAAGAUAUUAUGAACAUAAAGUUGUUUUAACUAGUCAUUUUGGUUGAAAUCUACAAGUUCCUUAAAAGAUUAUUUGUCAUACCAGCCCAGUCACACCUUUUACCAGCUACUCGUAGUAGUUUGCUAUCAGUAUGCUAUCGCUAUGCUACCACUUUGCUACUAGCCUUUUAAUUCAAAAAUUUGCUACCAGCCUAUUGUGGUAAAUUAUGGCAUGUUUGAUGGUUAUGAUUAAACUUUGUUGGUAUUACCUCCAACCUGCAACAUCUCUUACCAACCUACAAUGCCAUCAUUAUGCUUCCACCUGGUGUUUAUUAAUUUAGUGGUGCCAGCAGUGUCAUGAAUUCAGGAAGCAGGCUACGUGGUACCAUCUAAAGUACUGUUGGCCUAAAGUUAUAGCCAUACCAAUACCAUCUAAUUUACUGCUGUCUUGAUGUCUGCAUAACCUACUAAGUGUUGUUAAUUCACAAGUCUACACAAGUAUGUGUCGUUCACCAUGACAGUGUCAUUGCUUUCUACCAGCAGCCCCUAGAUUCGCUACCAGCAAUCGUCCAAGAUUUUAUCUUACCAGCUUCAAAGUUUGGCUAAAUCCUACUCCAUACCAGCUUCAAAAUGUCAUACAUGCGCUUGAGGCUACAUGGUUGUAGUAUUGUUAUUUCCCAUAGUAUCUGAAUGUGGAUUUCAGUUUGAUUUUUUAUAGUAUCUGGAUGCGGUAGUCUGGUUGAUUUUAUUGCAUUAAUGGAUGUGCAUACUCUUGAAAUAUGCUUCAUUGGUAAUUCUUUUUAUUUGCUAGGCUGCGAUUUAAGUGUCAUACCAGCCCUGUCAUUCUCUGUCAGUAUACACCUCUGUCAGUAAGAAACUCUUACCAGCUUACAAUGCUAUCAGUAUGCUUCCAAUUGGUGUUUGUUAAUUUAGUGUUACCAGCAGCCACUUGAUUCUUCUACCAGUCUAUUAAUGUAGGGAUUUUCUAACUAGCCUAGCCCACUUUGAAAAGUCAUGUGAGCCUUAUCCUUCCGUAUAACGUUUUAAUUGUAGUGUCAUUCUUAUCAGUGCAUAAUUGUCCUCUCCUUGCCACCAAUGUAGUAGUGUCUAGACCUAAAGUAGUCAUGACCAACUAUAACAAUGUGAUUGCUUAAACUGUGAAAAUUUCCUAUGAAUGCACAGUUGUCAGCACCGUGGACAGGAAAAUAGUCGUGAUUAUCGUUAAUCGAAAUAGAUUCCGAUUUCUCCAUUUGGACAUACCAUAUUCUUAUGGAGCUUCGAUUGUUAUAAUGCCAUAUAAACAAUCUAGAUAAUCUUUCUUGGCUCAUGCAAACAUCACCUUGACCCAGCCUAGAUGUUCCAAAAUUCUUGCCAAGUUGAUUUUAUACCCUUUUGUGAAUUACAUUGAAGCAUUUCACACAUUUCACUUUGAGUAAAUAUAGCCAUAUUUUCUCACAUUCUUGUGAAAUAGGUAAGUCAUAAAAUCCAUCUUUGGCCCAUGAAUUUCAUUGUCUAGAAACUUCUAACAAUAGUCCAUUUCUAUGUCAUGUUCAACAAGCAAGACCCACGUGUCUUAAAUUAACCAACUUUCAGAAAUCCAUGCCAUGGAAUCUUAGAAUGUUGACUUGUUGAUAUGGUCGUAUGACAUUUCCAAAGAUAUGUGGAACACAAAUCAAAAUGUUUGAUUUGAACCUUCUGAAGUUUGAGUGUGAAGAGAUUCGUUUGAACACAAAUCAAUCAUAUGACUCAACCCUCAAGUGACCAUUUCAUUCAAAUACACACUCAACGAAUGUUUUUGUUUACUUUGAAUGUGAGUCUUUCCGUUGUCCAAACAGAAAUUGAUUAUGAUGAUUAAUGGAACAUAAUACCAUUAAGUUCCAGCCUUUAGAAGGACUUUAAAACAAACAUGAUGACCCUACAAUCAAUGUAGCACAACUUUGCUUCAUUUCCCACUUGUAGGUCAAUAACCAGACUUAGCUCCCGGAAUUUGAGUUCUUAACAAGAGUUAGAAUCUCAAGCGGUAAUCUAAUACCAUAGGAGUCUAUUUGCUAAGUCGUUUCUCUUUAACAUAAACUUCAAGGUAGAAAUUGAAUCUUGAAUUCAUUUCUUUUGUUCCCCUUUCCUAUCCUUUCUAGCACGUUUUCUUAUAGUCCUAAAGAUUUUACUCUUUGCUUGAUCUUCUUACUUUGUUGCGCUUACAAAGUCCCUUUCUUUUGUUCACUUUGAAUGACAACAUCCAAUGAGUCUAAUUCAUUGUCGAACCAAAAGAAAAUUGGUUGUUAACCAUUGGUUAUACAUGAGUCUUUAACUCAAUACUUCAUUAUUUCAAAACUACCCAGUAUUCUGAAUAUAUGAGGUCCAAUUGGUCUACCAUUCAAAUUUUAGUUUGAAAACAACCAUGAAGAUCACUAUAAGAAAAUAGCAUUCAAGAUACGCUCUCACUCUCAUUUUCUUUGAGAAUUGCUCUCAAAAAUAGUUACCAAUCGAUCGAGGAAAUAUCGCAGUUCUAUUGUGCGAACGCAAUAAAGUUGAAGAUUUACGAUUCUACAAAAUGAACUAGCAAAGAAAAACACUUAUCAUACUUUAAUAACUUUAAAUAAAAGCAUUCACGCAAUCAUCAAAGCUAUUAAAAAUUUCAUUCAUGCAAAAAGCGAAAACAUGGUCCAAAAAGAAUGAAACGAUUCCAAGACCCCAAAAGUCCUAAAUCCUUAAGCAGCUUUAGCAUGUCUUAAGUAGUUUAAGAUUUUAGGUAAGCAAAACCUAUUGCUAGUAAUCUCCAAAUUACUCUUGGUUAAUAAAUUAAUGCCAUAAUGUAUCCCAUUGCCACAACAUAAUGCCAUUGUUGUUUGAGUUGAAACCACAAUCAACGUGCUCCUUUAGGACGCCUUACCACCUAAGUCAACUAAAAUAGCACCUCGCUUUAGCGUAAACCUACUAUCUUAGAUCCUUAGAUUUUUGUAAGUGCUUGAUUUGGAAAGCAAUUUUUAAACUCAAUAUUACUUGGACCUAGUUGUUUCUAUGUUGGUUCGAUUAUUUAGUGAACUUAAUCUAAUCGACUCAUAUGAAACAACCUGUUCAUGCAAAGCAUACAUACAUUCAUACAUUCACACAUAAUAUAUAUAUUAAAUUGCAUAAAGAAAUGGUGAUCUAGUAUGGCCCAAAACAUCUUGUCUUGAAGCAUCCAAUCUUCAUCACCUCCUUGUUAGCUUGGCAUCGUCUUGAAUCUUUGUUCAAAUGCUAACUUAAAGUUCUAAACUUAGAAAUACUUGAAAAUAAUAAAUUACAUCAAAAUUUCCAUGGUACGCAGACCAUAUUUAAAACUUUACAUUCAAAGAUAGAACGGUACGCAGACCAUAUUUAACUAUCCUAAAUUUGCCCAUACUAGUCACUUGGAGUACCUGCAUUACAUAAAAUAUAUAUUCUAUGCAUUCACCCAUUCGUGUGCUAAAACGAAUGGCCCAUAUUAAUAUGCAAGUGUUUACGUGAAUUAAUUAAAAUUCACGUUCACAUAAACGCGUCCUAAAAGAUUAAUCAGUUUCCAAAUUAUUAAUCCUUAUACUUUAUUCUAAUUAAAAUUGAAUUUAAUUAAAAUAAUGCGACCUAUGAAAAUAAUUAAAAUUAAUUAUUUCAUUUUAAUUUCAUUUAGUGGCUCCCACUCAAACCAAUAAUUAUUCCGGAUAAUUAAUUAUGAAAUAUUAAAUUAAAACUCGCGGCCCGGCCCAAGCAAAUAAAAUAUUAAAUUAAAGAUCCCGUUAGCCCAAAUUAAUGCAAAUAUACGAAGCCCAACGAAUUAAACGAUUUUUAACAAAAAGGUCCAAUUACUUAGUCGGGCUAGGCUUGCGCCCAACCCCAGCCUUGCGUGAGGCCCAAGAGCGCACGAGCAAGGCUCGCACACCCGCAGCCCCAUCGCGCGCGCGCACCGCGUUCCCGCAGCGUAGCUGCCCCUGCUUGCGUGUUGUGCAUCGUGUGUGUGCUGGACGUCGCAAGGCUUGCGCCUUUCUUCGUCGCAGCCCCGCAAGCAAUGCUCGCCUGCCCUUCCUCGCCCAGCGCACACGAGGCACGCAGCGUAGCUGCUGCUGCCCGUGUCGCAUGCGGCUCGGUCCUAAGCACAAUAGCCUCGUAUGGCUCGGCGAGCCAUACGUCCACCAUGCUCAUGUUCGUGCCUUUGGUUCGUAAUACGGACCAACUUAAUUAAAAUUAAAUUUAAUUAACGAACUUGCAUUAAUUUUAUUUUUCAAAAAAGUUACGAUUUUUAUUUUCGAAAACAACGAUUUUUAACGAUUUAAUAAACUUUAACGACAAUCCAAUUUCGUAAAAUUAAUAAAUCAAGGGCUAACAAUAUUCAAACUUUUAAGAACGAACGAAUCAACAUUAAAGUUUGAACUUUUAAUUAAUAAAAUCCGAAGCUUUAAAUCGUUCAUAAACAAUUAAAUUUUAGAUUUUUAAUAAUUUGGUUUAAGUGCGAUUAAAAUUAACGAAACCAUUCAAAAUUUUAAUCCAAUAAUUUUUAAAAUUAGCCACUGACCCAUGAAAUUAUAUCCCCUUUCCAAUUAACCGAAUUAUUAAACCAAAAUUAAUUAAAAUUCAAUUAGGGUUUCAAAUUUUACGAAUUGGGGAAAGGAAAAAUUAGGGUUUAUACUUAUCGGAAAAAUCUGAAAUUUUACCAUAGAUCAAGAAUGUACCCAGAAAUUUCAAGAAAUUCCGAGUAAUUUAGGUCGACCUUUUAAUUGAAAUACUGUCCGACACUUUUAAUUUUUAAUGAAAAAUUAACAAAAACGCCCAAAAAACGAUAUUUCGAGGUCUGUUUUCGCAUUUCUAUUCUCGUGAGUUGAUCUUAGAAAAUUGUUUUCCAUCAGAUUAGGGUUUUAAAAAUCGAAAAAGCGAAUAUUUUUUAUUUCGAACCUGAUUAUUACGCAAUUCGUCCAAUAAUUCGUAAAAAUUCCGAAAAAUCAACAAAAAUUCCAAAUUUUUCGACAGAUGCAAAAACAAUAAUAAUCAUGCUUAUUCAUGCUUUGGAUACAUAAGGCUCAUGAUACCACUGUUGGGGAAUACAGUUAAACAUAAUAACAUGUGCGGAAACAAUCCCCAAAGCCAGGAAACAUGUAUAAAGCACAGAUUAAGCAAACUUAUAUUCGAAGCGUGUUUUCCACAAUAAUAUGUCAACGAACACGAACAAAGAACUCCACUUCUCGUUCUUCUACUUGGUUCACCGACAUGUUCAGAUCCGUCUUGACAAUCGUAGCUUAGACAACCAUUCAAGAGUUUGUGCUUUUGGGAAGAACACAUCCAUGGAGGCUGAGAGAGAAUUAAGGUUUCUCUCUCUUCUUUUUGGUUUGAUGUGUGUGGCUGAAUUGUGUAUAUUAGGUUAGGAAAACUUGUGUAGAAUAAUAUUAUAACCCCUUAGGUUAUAAUACUAUCCGGCCAAGCCACAAGGGCAAGAACCGGACAGCAAGCACAUACGCGCGCACCACACAGGCGCUGGGCCUUGGGCCGCGAUGUGUGCGCAGCUGCUGCUACUCCUCACAUGCGCGCGCGCCUAGCCAAGGCAUGGGCCUUGCGCGCUGGCUCGCUGCUACGCCCAGUGGGCCUUGCGCGCUUGCGCGCCUUGGCUCGUUGGGCUGGCAGCGUUGCCUCCUCGUAUCCGCGAUUAGUAUAUUUCCGAUAUAUUAUUUAUCGUUUCGUAUACGACGAAUCACCGUCGUACGAUACGAUUUAUUCGUCUUGCCUAGCUUACGAAUAUUCGCGAUACGAUAUACGAUUUCGAUGCAAGGUCGUAUCGUAUAAUACGUUUUCCAACUAAUUCCCGAAAAGCUAUUAAAUGAAUUUCCGAUUCAUUUAAUCUGGUGAUCUGUUACAUGCCAUUGGUGUGACCUUGUAGGUUCAGUCAAGAGUAAGUUGUGAGCUUAAUAUUCAUUAGAACUCACUGAUCGGAACCAUUGCUCCAGCUAGCUGUUCCGAUCACCUGAUCUCACUGAAUUAAUUGUUCGCAAUUAAUCUGAACCUUGGUAUUAGACUUAAUGCACCUUGGGUGAAGGACAUAUUUCCUUCAAGGCUACCAUUAGCUUACUGACUCGGGGUAAUGUAUAAGCAAAACCGAUUCAAACCCUGAAAGUAGGUCAGCAAUGCUGGCUCGGGGUGAUACGAAUCAAACCCUUAAAGUAGGUCGGUAAGGCUACCAUUAGCUUACUGACUCGGGGUAAUGUAUAAGCAAAACCGAUUCAAACCCUUAAAGUAGGUCGGUAAGGCUACCAUCAGCUUACGACUCGGGGUGAUACGAAUCAAGCCCUUAAAGUAGUUUGGUAAGGCUACCAUUAGCUUACUGACUCGGGGUAAUGUAUAAGCAACAUCAAUUCAAACCCUUAAAGUAGGUCGGUAAGGCUAUCAUCAGCUUACGGACUCAGGGUGAUACAAAUCAAGCCCUUAAAGUUGGUCGAGCAAGGCUAUCACAGCUUGACGACACACGAGAAAUUUCACUUACUAGAUGAGCAAGCUCCCAUCCAAGCUUGUCAGUCGAAGGUUUGUAAUAAUAUUUGGCUAGGUUGCGGAAGGCUUCCAUCUAACUUGCCGAUCUGGAAUUGCUUGUUGUGCAAGGCUACAACUCAGCAUGCCGAUUUGAGGUUUACAAAAUCAUCACUUCAACCGGGCAAGGCUCUCAUCCAAGCUUAUCAGCUGAAGGUUGCGCCGAUAAUGAAAGGGCUAAUCAUCCUAAAAAAUCAAGGGGGCUAGUCAGCGUAAAAAAAUUCAAGGGGGCUAGUCGGCCAGAAGAAAAAUAAGUUAAUGUUUUUAUCUGCAUAUUCUCGCCUAAUGUGCAGGUUGAGCCGAUAAUGAAGGCGUUAAUAAUCCUAAAAAAUCAAGGGGGCUAGUCAGCGUAAAAAAAAUCAAGGGGGCUAGUCGGCCAGAAGAAAAGUAAGUUAUUGUUUUUAUCUGCAUAUUCUCGCCUAAUGUGCAGGUUGCGCCGAUAAUGAAGGGGCUAAUCAUCCUAAAAAAUCAAGGGGGCUAGUUAGCGUAAAAACAUCAAGGGGGCUAGUCGGCCAAGGUAAGCAAAAUAAGUUAAUGUUUUUGUAGGGGGUUUUUUCGUACUCUUUUCCUUUACGAGGGCGGUUUUCAGAAACCUUUGUAUUUUUGUAUUUUGUAGGAAUCGCCAUCAAACAUUUUUAAGGGUCCCGUUUGAAAAGACCAAAAAGUGACUCGAUUAGGAUAAGGCAUUGAAUCUUAGAAACGGAUGGGUAAGAUCCGGGCAAGGGAACGAGAUGCUUAUUCCGUGAGCUUUAGAAAUAAUUCAAAUGCGUGGCACAACAUUUUCGAAAAUACCCUAGUUUAGACUAUGUGGCUUUGAAUUUAGAACAAAUAGAAUUUCUACUUUGUAUCGUGGUCACUUUUCUUUAAAGUUAAUUUAAGGGAACCUAAGAUCGGUUUGUCCAAGAAAUUAUCUUCGUUAAGCUUGAUGUAACCUUGCAUUUUGUAUUUAGCAUGUGCGGUGAUGAAAGCAAUAAACAAGUAGAGCAACAUCACAAUAGAAAAUAGGUGCAAAAUUAGUAAAGUACAAGACCACCAAGAAAUGGACUAGGUCGUGAAACCACAUUGCCUAGAAGGACUAGGCAAGUAAAGUUGCGUAAUUGAAAGUGCGGAAUUGAAAUUGCAUAAUUGAAAGUGCGGAAUUGAAAUUGCAUAAUUGAACGUGCGUAAUUGAAAGGCAUUAUUGAAAUUGCAAUAUUGAAGUGCGAUAUUGAACUUGAACUUUAGCACAUGAGAUCCGAACGCCAAGUGUAGACACCUAAUUUGUGUCUCCCCAUUGGGAUGAUGACGAUACCAUUAUCCUUGUUAGGUAGUUGGAGUAACUCCGUGCGGAAAUUCCAUUUGCUAAAAGCAUGUCCAAAAUCCAAGAGCCAAAGUCCAAUCCCCGAGGCCGUUCCCAUCCCGGAACUCGGUACAAAAUACAAAUUCCAAAACCAAUUUCAAAAUCAAAGUAAAAACUCACCCAAUGGGCUAUCCCAUUGGUUUUACAAGGCCUUUUCCACUCAAAAUCAUAUAAGGAAAGUCAAAUUCGGGCGCCGACCCACAAAACCGAGCAAGCCGGGCCUCGUCCCGUAAAACCGAAAUUCAAAAACCCGAAACGGCUUAUUUUUAGACGCAAAAUCAAGUCUUAAGCCCCAAGCAAACACUACACGCCAAACUUCGUACAAAUAGUACAAAGGUACAUCAAUACAAGACAAGGCAAGGACGGAGCCCGCGUCCUUGUAUUGGCAGCAUCCCUGCCACGUCACCAGCGCCCAGCGCUGCCAGCUGCGUGCUGCGCUGGCAAUGGCUGGCGUUUAGCAGCAAAUCCCCCUAUAAAUACCCCUAAUUUUGAGCAGUUUAGGGAGGCAAAAUCGACACAUAACGUCGUAAUACAAAAAUUGCACCUCAAUAUUCAAUACCAAAAUCAAUACAAAAUCCUCCAAAGAUACCAUACUAUCUUCAAGCUUUAAGCAAUUGGGAGUUCUAAUCGGAAAGCUUGCCUAAACCUAACUAGGUCUACACUCCGAGGAUUGCGCCUUAUGCGAGGAAUUUGAUGUGGUUCGUGAGCAAUGGGCUAAGUUUUUUACCAGCAAGUAUUUAUUAUUGGCUUUAGUGCGCUUGAUCGAGUUGGUUUAGUUGUUAUAGAAUAAAUUUUAUAUUAAAAUGUAUGUUUAUGUUGAAAUUAGAACAUAUAUUUAAAUGUAAUAUGUGCACUUUGGUUUUGGGAUAUAUAGUAUACAAAACUCCAGUUGUUGUUUUUA